rnacentral:rRNA from 1 species
AUCAUGGCUCAGGAUGAACGCUAGCGGCAGGCCUAACACAUGCAAGUCGAGGGGUAACAGGGAGCUUGCUCCGCUGACGACCGGCGCACGGGUGCGCACCGCGUAUGGAACCUACCUUUUACAGGGGAAUAGCCCAGGGAAACUUGGAUUAAUGCCCCGUAGUACUAUUAUGUGGCAUCACAUUAUAGUUAAAGCCUUCGGGCGGUAGAAGAUGGCCAUGCGUCCCAUUAGUUUGUUGGUAAGGUAACGGCUUACCAAGACUACGAUGGGUAGGGGCCCUGAGAGGGGGAUCCCCCACACUGGUACUGAGACACGGACCAGACUCCUACGGGAGGCAGCAGUGAGGAAUAUUGGACAAUGGAGGAGACUCUGAUCCAGCCAUGCCGCGUGCAGGAAGAAUGCCCUAUGGGUAGUAAACUGCUUUUAUACAGGAAGAAAAAGGGGCACGUGUGCCCUACUGACGGUACUGUAAGAAUAAGGACCGGCUAACUCCGUGCC